UUUUGUUCUCUUGAAUAGCUAUUCUUUGCUGAUGAUAAAAAACCAAACGGGAGAAAAGUUGUGGGUGAUGUGGCAUACGACGAGGCCAAAGAGAGGGCGAGCUUCAUCACUCCUGUUCCUGGCGGCGUAGGGCCCAUGACAGUUGCAAUGCUCAUGCAGAGCACAGUAGAGAGUGCCAAGCGUUUCCUGGAGAAAUUUAAGCCAGGAAAGUGGAUGAUUCAGUAUAACAACCUUAACCUCAAGACACCUGUUCCAAGUGACAUUGAUAUAUCACGAUCUUGUAAACCAAAGCCCAUUGGUAAGCUGGCUCGAGAAAUUGGUCUGCUGUCUGAAGAGGUAGAAUUAUAUGGUGAAACAAAGGCCAAAGUUCUGCUGUCAGCACUAGAACGCCUGAAGCACCGGCCUGAUGGGAAAUACGUGGUGGUCACUGGAAUAACUCCAACACCCCUGGGAGAAGGGAAAAGCACAACUACAGUCGGGCUAGUGCAAGCCCUUGGUGCCCAUCUCUACCAGAAUGUCUUUGCGUGUGUGCGACAGCCUUCUCAGGGCCCCACCUUUGGAAUAAAAG
rnacentral:sRNA from 1 species